rnacentral:rRNA from 1 species
CACGUAGGGCGCAAGCGUUGUCCGGAAUUAUUGGGCGUAAAGAGCUCGUAGGCGGUCUGUUGCGUCUGCUGUGAAAACCCGGGGCUUAACCCCUGGCUUGCAGUGGAUACGGACAGACUAGAGGUAGGUAGGGGAGAAUGGAAUUCCCGGUGUAGCGGUGAAAUGCGCAGAUAUCGGGAGGAACACCGGUGGCGAAGGCGGCUCUCUGGGCCAUUACUGACGCUGAGGAGCGAAAGCGUGGGGAGCGAACAGG